UCCGAGUCCUCCUGAUGAGCUGCAGCUGGUGGUGCCCGCGUGGCCACAGCACAGGUUUUCCUCACAGAGCCACUGGCCCAGCUGAAGGUGACUCUCCUAAGCUCCCUUCACCAGCCACUCUGGCUUCCACGCUGGGAAGAGAGCAAAAGAGAGCCUGCUGACCUCCCAGCUGUUGGCCCCAGAGUCACAGAAGUCACCCCUACUCAACACCAGGACACAGAUCCACCGCCCAACCUAAGAAAACAGGAACAACUCCAGGGCCACCUAGGCCAGGCAGGUUGACAAACAUGGUGUCAGAAGUGGGAUCUGAAGCAUAAUCAUUUUCAGAAUAAACUGGUGAUUCUUGGAACCAGGGUGCAGUACUCCCUUGAGGCCUUUCAGCUCUCUACUUCCACGGCUCUCCUUUUUCUGCCCUGGUGCACUAAGGGAAGCUAAAAGCAGACUCAGGGGAUAUGUCUGCAGCUGCAGAAAGAUGUAUGGAAACAAGACACACAACUCUCCCUCCCAGAUAAGAACAAAGAGAUACAGAAGCAGUCCAAGCCUCUGAUAAACUCUCCUACCCCGAAUCCUUAAAAACUCACAGUCUGUAAAAGAGUGUGUCUCUGACCUAACUCGGCCAGAAGGCGCCUCUCAGGUUUGUUUUCUCUAAAAUAAAUCUGUCUUGACUGGAAAGCCACCUUUUUGUGUUUCUUUCCUCUUUCUUUAAUUCUUACAGCUACCUGGAUGACAACAUGGACCACAGCCACCAGCAGACCUGGAACGUUAGCCCUUAGACAAUGAUAGAAGGCAAAAGUAAACUUCUAACUUGUUCCAGCCAGUAAAUGAUUGUUCAUUUUCUUUGUUACAGCAGCCCAACCUUACACUGGGUGACAAACCUUAUGGAGUUCCCACACCCAAGAUAGUCCAGGAGAAGAAG
rnacentral:lncRNA from 10 species